GAUGAACGCUGGCGGCGUGCCUAAUACAUGCAAGUCGAGCGAACAGAUGAGAAGCUUGCUUCUCUGAUGUUAGCGGCGGACGGGUGAGUAACACGUGGGUAACCUACCUAUAAGACUGGAAUAACUCCGGGAAACCGGGGCUAAUACCGGAUAAUAUUUUGAACCGCAUGGUUCAAUAGUGAACGACGGUUUCGGCUGUCACUUAUAGAUGGACCCGCGCCGUAUUAGCUAGUUGGUAAGGUAACGGCUUACCAAGGCGACGAUACGUAGCCGACCUGAGAGGGUGAUCGGCCACACCGGAACUGAGACACGGUCCAGACUCCUACGGGAGGCAGCAGUAGGGAAUCUUCCGCAAUGGGCGAAAGCCUGACGGAGCAACGCCGCGUGAGUGAUGAAGGUCUUCGGAUCGUAAAACUCUGUUGUUAGGGAAGAACAAAUUUGUUAGUAACUGAACAAGUCUUGACGGUACCUAACCAGAAAGCCACGGCUAACUACGUGCCAGCCGCCGCCGUAA
rnacentral:rRNA from 1 species